CGGAGGAAAAGAAACCACCAGGGAUUGCCCCAGUAACGGCGAGUGAAGCGGCAACAGCUCAAAUUUGAAAUCUGGUCCCCAGGGCCCGAGUUGUAAUUUGCAGAGGAUGCUUUUGGUGAGGUGCCUUCCGAGUUCCCUGGAACGGGACGCCAUAGAGGGUGAGAGCCCCGUCUGGUUGGAUACCGAGCCUCUGUAAAGCUCCUUCGACGAGUCGAGUAGUUUGGGAAUGCUGCUCUAAAUGGGAGGUAUAUGUCUUCUAAAGCUAAAUAUUGGCCAGAGACCGAUAGCGCACAAGUAGAGUGAUCGAAAGAUGAAAAGCACUUUGAAAAGAGGGUUAAAUAGUACGUGAAAUUGUUGAAAGGGAAGCACUUAUGACCAGACUUGGCCCCGGUGAAUCAUCCAGCGGUUCCCGUUGGUGCACUUUGCCGGGGUUCAGGCCAGCAUCAGUUCGCUCCGGGGGAUAAAGGCUUUGGGAAUGUGGCUCCCUCGGGAGUGUUAUAGCCCAUUGCGCAAUACCCUGUGGCGGGCUGAGGUUCGCGCUUUAUGCAAGGAUGCUGGCAUAAUGGUCAUCAGUGACCCGUCUUGAAACACGGACCAAGGAGUCGUCUUCGUAUGCGAGUGUUCGGGUGUUAAACCCCUACGCGUAAUGAAAGUGAACGCAGGUGAGAGCCCUCCAGGGCGCAUCAUCGACCGAUCCUGAUGUUCUCGGAUGGAUUUGAGUAAGAGCAUACGGGGCCGGACCCGAAAGAAGGUGAACUAUGCCUGUAUAGGGUGAAGCCAGAGGAAACUCUGGUGGAGGCUCGCAGCGGUUCUGACGUGCAAAUCGAUCGUCAAAUAUGGGCAUGGGGGCGAAAGACUAAUCGAA
rnacentral:rRNA from 1 species